ensembl:lncRNA
CAGUAUUACUCCAGACAGGCAAUGCAAUUGCUGAGCUUGCCUGAAGUUAGGUGAGAAACCCAGGGCAAAGCCAGGACUUUCUGACUUGUGCUCCUUGCUGGGUGCUGCAUUUUUAGCCAGGUUUUUUUCUUUUUCAGUUGAGUGGAGUUGAGUUUAUGUUUAUGUUUAUUCUGCUGUCGUACAACUAAAUUCAGUCAUUUGACAGCUUUCAUUGCAAGCCAAGUUAUUGCUGCAUUUCAGCUUUUGAAACGUAGCUGCUUUUGCUGUGUGCUUAUAAUAACUGCUUGGAAGACAGAGUCCUUAUGUCUUCCGCAUGGAAACAGUUGCUUGGUUUGUUGGAAGCAAAAUGCAUCAUGAAAUCAGAUGUUUCUAAUUGCUCCUUGUUUCAGGAGUUUCUAUUGUACACUGAAAAUCAUCCUUAAUGCAUGAGUAAGCCUGAUGAACAGAUAGAUCUGAAAAACAUUGACUCAAAAUAAAUCCUUCUUGGAAGAGGAGUAAUUGUUGACUAAUUCUCGUGGGAGAGAGAUGUGAGUUUCUUGCAGGCUCUUUGAACAACAGGACUUCAAAGAGGAUCAGCAAAAAGGAGGCAGCUACCUUCCAAGAAAAGCCUACAAGGAAGAAAAUAAUGGUCCUGGUGCCAUAGGCUGAAGCAUACGUAACCCAUAAAUCCUCAACUGACAUAAUAGCUCCUGAGGCAUUUUCUUCAGAAGGAAGAGGAGAACAUGCUAUGAGGCAAAGUAACAGCUGGUGCAGUGCCAGGUGACAGCAAAUCCUGCUGAUGAGUAUACUGGCUUUGAGUGACCCUUCAUUAACAGCAUGCAUGGAGGGAGAACCUGUAGGUAGCUCGUCUCUGCCUUCAGACAUGAUUAUUCAUCGUGCGGCGACACGGAGAGUUCUGUGGCAGGAGUCAGACGUUACCUCUGCAGGAAUGGGAACUGCUCGUGGGAGCUGACGUCAGCACUCAGUGCAGUGAGGGUAUCAUUCCUUGUGCAAGACGAUGCUAUGCUGAACCUUUCUAGCCUGGUCAAUUUGAAAAUGCAUUCAAACCCAGAUAGCGAAGGACCACAGGCAUCUCUUGUCUUGUAGCUGGAAACACAGCAAAGCUUUACAAAAUGGACAUACUGGUUUUCUUUUUUUCUGAAUGGUUGCACUUAAAUCAGAACUCAGUGAUGUGUGCAUCUGCCAACACCAAACAAUACACCGUUUGUAGGUUUCUGUUUUCACAUGUCUAGCAAGGUUUGUAUUGAUCAAAUUUCACACUCAUAACGUCAAAGAAGCCAGAUUAUUUCACUGGAAUAAAAAUCAGUGCUUACAGACUUGUUGGAAAUAUUUUUAAAUUACCUUUCUCUUUUUACUGGCAUACAAAUUUUAAAGGAAGGUACGUUGCUUGUUUCUUCACUGAUAGAUUCAGAGGCAGUAUGUAUGGUUAGUAAUAAUUGUUUGGCAAGCCAAGCUGACUCCAAUGUUUGUUUUUGCAAUCCUUUCUACUGAAACCAACAUUGCUUUUCAGUCAGCUCUGUAUCUUAAACACAAUGUGUUGUGCACACAGGGCAAGGUGUGCCCCAUGACCCUGCCAGUUAUUCUGUGCAUGAUCAUAUUGCACUUAUCUAUCGUGGGAGAUUUGAAAAGCUUUCUCUCUGGGCCAUUGGAGGAAACCUUGUACUUUUGUAGCCUGACCGUGACAGAAAUCUGUAAGAUGAGAAGGUUUGCCAUGCCUAAGGUUAGUUCUGCUGCAGUAAGUCUUCCCGACAUCCAACAAUGCCAGAGAAAGCAUAGUUUCUGUUUGUGGAGAUUAAUUACUAUUGUGAAGGCAACUAAAAAUGAAAAGUGUGGGGUUUAUGGCAGUUUUAUUUUUAUUGCUGCUAUUAGUAGCUUCAAUUGCAGUCUGUAAGUAAAGUGGUGAGUUCUCAGGGAAUUUGUCAAGAGCAAGGACUGGUAGGUUAGAUCAAAAUGUGGUUUGUAGGAAGGGGAAUAUGGAAAGCAUUUCCUGUUUUUCAGCUGGCAUGGAUCUGCUUGAGCAAGACAUACUCUGCUAAAUUCAUCAAGCUGUUGUCCCAGACCCUGUAACAUGUGGCUCCAGCGGUGCCUUUACUCAGUUCAUAGCCUGGUGGAAAUGUCACAUCUGCCAAUCCUUACCACACAAUACAAAUGAGAAAAUACUUAAUCUUCAUGCUUUAUGUGAGACCUCCUGGCUCUUUCCUUGUUGAGGGUGAGGACCACUCUCACUUUCUAUUAAAAGAAAGAACCAUGAUACCAAUCCUGUUAUAUAAACCAAAUGUUGUUAUAUAAAUAAUUAUUCUGAAAUAUUUCAGUUCUGGCAUUUUUUUCUGGUGAUUUAUGGUGUUUUUAACCAAAGCAAUGAACAGAAAUUAAUACAAAGCUGUAUUAAAUUUAGUCAGAAAAAAUCAUGCAGCUUUUCAGUGUUCUAUUUAUCCUGCUAGUGUAGAUUUUUCUUCAAAAUAUAUGGCUCAAAUCUGCCCAGUUCUGCUUAACUCCGUCUUUUUUUCUCUCUCAGUUCUCCUGCUCCUUGACUGGAACCCAUCCUGACACACAAGCCAGGGCAAAUGCUUUUCAUUGCACACCCCAUGCUAGCGCUAUUUGUGUUCCUGAAUGUGAUCACUAGAAUCUUGCUUUGUCUCUUACUGCGAGAUGCAUGUUGGCAUUUCUUUAGAAAACCUGUGAAUACCAUAGAGGCUCAAGGUGGACUUAAAGAUGCUCAAGGUCACAAAACAGAUUUAACAGUGUGACUGUACUGUUCAAGCAUAAGCAUUGUAGCCCUUCAUUCAGAGUGAUUUUGCUGCAGAGCAAGUUGGGCUGAACGAACCACUGGAGGUUGUUUGCAUGGAACUGCAACCGCAGACAAGAAGAUGGUUCUCUGAGGGCAUUACCAGCAUUUUCCUUGAAACAUUUGCUUCUUCAUGGAAACUUCCAUCUAUUAGCUUAGCUUGUUAGUUGUAAAGCCCUAUGGUUUGCUAAUCUUCUUCCUUCCUUAGCUUUUCAUUUCUUCAAAGUAGUGGUUACAGACUGGAACCUGCAAAGUGCUGAGCGCUGUAUUCCACAUCAAGCAAAACUCUUAAUGUUAAUCAUGCUCUGAAAAAUGCUGCCAGAUUAGAGCUAAAUCUUUACACAUCCCCUGUAUCUCUCCAGCUGGGUGCCUUUUUCGUUCAUGUAAAAGCAUGGCUGUGCAGUUAAGGCACUGAGCUUGGGCUGAGGCAGUGCUAAGUCCACUUUAAUCUACUACAGCCUUCUUUAAUCAUGUCCUAAUUUACGAAAUAGAAAUGAUAAAUAUUUUGUCUUUCUGAUUCUAAACUCUUGGGAUGGCAUUUAUUUCUUAGCCUUAUAAGAACAUUAAGACCUUAUGCGGUGCUACAAAUGAAUUCUGUCUCUUAGAGGGCAGACAUCUAAGCCCUGGGCUGACUGGCGAGGAUUCCUGCCAUCCAGCUUCAGAGCAGGAAUGCCCUGGGAGGGCUUCUUGUCGUUGGCUCUGUGCUGUCUAAUUGCACAGCAAAUAGCAUUGGUGCUUCAGAUAACGUUUUAUUCAAAGCCUUUUAUUUCCAGUUAAAUAAAAGAGUAUAUUUCAGAUUGUCUUCACGUGCCUUCAUGUGAAGAAAGGCAAUGUUUUAGACGUUUUGAAAUUCAAUUCAAGUAAUGAGCAUUCAUUAUAUCUACAUUUUAAAGUGCCAGUUUCCAGCAUCUGCCUAAGAGAAAGUAUAUCUCACUUUUUCUCUCUACCUUUGUUAGUAAUUAUCAUAAUCACAGGGUAACAUCUCAUUUUUUGCAGUUUUGUGUAUUCUCUGAACAAUUCUUACCCGAUUGAGCUUACUGUCCCUGUCUCAUUUAUUUAAUUAAACAUUAAGUCAUUGAACUUUUAGUAUGCCAAGAUUACUAAUGUGGCAAAAUAGUAAUCCAUUAAACAUCCAGACAGUAAAUCUACCACCUACCUCUUUUGACGAGGUUAUAGUAUGCCAUACAAUUAAUUAUUUGAAGCUUGAAAACAAUUUCUGCGAAGUGCAAAAUGGAACUAUUACAUCUCCAUUAAAAGAAGAAAAGUAAUAACUUCUAAAGGUUUAAAAAACCUUUAAGCAAUAUCUGAUGUAUGUCAUUGCUACACAACACCUCCUGUGAAACAUUUCUUGCUUGUAAAGGCAAGAUCAUACCUACUGUUCUGAUAACAGUGAUUUACUGUGCAGUCUGUUUGUCUAUCAGUGCAUCUACCUGUGAGUUAGCACGUUCCUAAAGCUCUUCACAAAGUUGACUUCCUUUUUCAAGCCAAGAGGUAGAGGUCUAAUAAGCAUCAUAGGAAGCAGCGCACUGCUAAACUGAUGAUGGGUGGAUGAGGGCCGAAGAGUGGCUCUGAAUUAACUUCCUGCUGGCUGAUGUUUCUGGAGGCACUUUCUCAACCACAGCAGAAGUCAUUCGUAAUAGUCAUAGAAUUACAGAUUCAUUAGGAUGGGAAAAGACCACUUCAGAUCAUCGAGUCCAGCCACCAACCCACCACCAUCAUGCCCAUUAUCCAUGUCACUCAGUGCCACAUCUACAUGUUUCUUAAACAUCUCCAGGGAUGGUGACUCCACCACCACUCUGGCAGCCUGUUCCAAUAAGCAUUCCCAAGUGCAUCAUUUUGUAUUUUCUUAUGGUUUUACUGGCCACACUUCAGCUGUUGUCCUCUUUGUGUUAUGCACUUUUGUGCUUAUGUGGCUCUGGUGUUAUCAGAGGGGUAAGACUUUGUUGGUAGUAUUUGAAAAUAUAGUUAGAAAUACUCAACCACUGGAAAAGUUAGGACAAAUUUUGUGAGCAAUAUUGUUAUUUGAAAAGAAUCCCACGAGGCUUUCCUUGGCUGUUUGCCUGUUCAUAGAAAUUAUUACAUGUAUAUGAUAUAGACAUCCAUAAAUACCAGUGAAUAAGUGGGUGAUUAAAAUGAUAAAAUCAUUAUAAAGGUUAUUCAAAUUAUAAAAUCAUUUAUAUUAAGUUACAUAAAUAAAUACUGUUGCAGUCAGAAAGUGAAAAGACUCUUCAUUCAUUUUUCCUGUAAUUCACUUCAGGCUCCAUAAAGAUCCUGAAGGAGAAAAUGCCUUCUUUUAUUUUGCUAAUACCAGUUUGGCCUUUCUGUGAGGGUUUUACAAAGCUAAAGGAGUCACUUCAGUCUAUUGUAAUCCCCUUUUUGUUUCAGAGAAUAUAUCCCAGAUUCUCUGUUCUUUAAGUAUCCAGUAAGACUCUUCUUGUUUGUUUUCAAAGGAAGCGUCCAUAAACCAUUUGAAAACAACAUAAUUAAGGUCCGAGCUGCCUGUGACAUCUCUCACAUGCGUGCCCAGCUGUUCUGUUGGUUUUGCUUGUUAUCAUCCAUCACCAGAUGAUAAAAGAAUAAUUCUGGAGGUACUGAUUGCUUAAUUAAUUGGAGUUCUUUUUUUGUUGUUGUUGCUUUUCUAAGGCUCCUGUUUGUAAUUGUAAUGAAGCAAUAAUAUAAUACAUCCUUUAUGGUCUUAAUGCUGUGGACUUUUCUUUGCCACACGUAAUUAAAAUUCAUGAGGUAGUGGUUUAGAAGAUAUUAGAAGAAGGUUCCUGUGCAGAAAUGUUGUAUACUGCAACAUAAUUAAAUAAAACAGCAAGUCUUUAAAGUUAACUGGUGUACUUCAUUUGGCCAUUUAGCAAUAACUUUCAAAUAGAACUGUGGAUUGCUGAGAGCAGCCUGAUCUUAAAACAAAAGCAUCCCUUUGGAAACAGAUACUAAAUAGUUGUAACUGUAGAGUCAUAGAUUGGUUUGGGUUGGAGGGCACCUAGAAGACCAUCC